rnacentral:rRNA from 1 species
GUCUACAGCCAUGCCACCCUGAACAUGCUCAAUCUCGUCUGAUCUCGGAAGCUAAGCAGGGUCAGUACUUAGAUGGGAGAGCACCUUGGAAUACCAAGUGUUGUAGGCG